rnacentral:rRNA from 1 species
UCGGGAUAACACCUAGGAAACAGAUGCUAAUACCGGAUAACAACAGAUGAUGCCUAUCAACUGUUUAAAAGAUGGUUCUGCUAUCACUCUUGGAUGGACCUGCGGUGCAUUAGCUAGUUGGUAGGGUAACGGCCUACCAAGGCGAUGAUGCAUAGCCGAGUUGAGAGACUGAUCGGCCACAUUGGGACUGAGACACGGCCCAAACUCCUACGGAGGCAGCAGCC